CUCUUCCUUUCCUGCAUUAAGCAAAUGAUGCUCCGAUGCUUCUAGGUCUCUCCACCACUGCAAAAUGCUCAGAGAAGUGGAGGGAUUGAAAAGGAAGUUGCCUACUACUCUGAAGGAUACUGGAAAGUCGCCUUCAAAUCUAAAGUGAAGACUUGGGGGCGGGGGAUGCCCCCUUCCUGAAGAGGGAAUGAGGGUCCCUCCCCUAAAAAGGAGCCUCUGUUCGGGUGAAGGCGAUCCCCACCCUGAAAGAGAGGCGUGUAUGUGGAAAGGUGGUGGAAGGUUGUACCCUGAAGAGGAGCCUGGAUUUGAAGAAAUGUCCCAACUCUGAAGGGGGGCUGUCUGCUGCCCUGCAUUGUGAGUUUGCUCAGUGGGCCAGCGUGGCACAGAAGCACAGUUGAGAGACCAGACCCGGGGCCUCUGGAGGAACGUGCUGGUAUCAUCGCUGAAGAGCUUUCUCAAUGCUGGCUGGCUGUUGUCAGGAGCAGUCCUUAGACAGGCUCGCUUCUGGUAGUUCAAAGAAUCAGGUUGGUUUAGCAAUCAUGUUAUCCCUUACAUUACUUGUAUAUUCCUAAGUGUAUUCCAAAGACGGUGA
rnacentral:lncRNA from 1 species